rfam:Bifidobacterium gallicum DSM 20093 = LMG 11596 strain DSM 20093 B_gallicum-1.0.1_Cont5.1, whole genome shotgun sequence.
GCCCCUGUAUCCCAAUUGGUAGAGGAGACAGCCUCAAAAUCUGUACAGUGUGGGUUCGAGUCCCACCGGGGGCA